UACGGAGGGAGCUAGCGUUGUUCGGAAUUACUGGGCGUAAAGCGCACGUAGGCGGCUAUUCAAGUCGGGGGUGAAAGCCCGGGGCUCAACCCCGGAACUGCCCCUCGAAACUAGAUAGCUAGAAUCUUGGAGAGGUCAGUGGAAUUCCGAGUGUAGAGGUGAAAUUCGUAGAUAUUCGGAAGAACACCAGUGGCGAAGGCGACUGACUGGACAAGUAUUGACGCUGAGGUGCGAAAGCGUGGGGAGCAAACAGG
rnacentral:rRNA from 1 species